rnacentral:lncRNA from 1 species
UGACAGGAGACCACUGGACAUCAGUGAGUAACAACAAAUACCUCGGAGUAACUGCACAUUUCAUCAGUGACACGUGGGAACUGAAGUCUUUUGCGCUGACUAUAUUAAAAACUGAGGAGCGUCAUUUUGCGGAGGCUUGUAAAGAACAGUUCCUGUCUGUUGCACGUAAGUGGGACAUCGAGGGCAAGACGACAACCAUUGGGACUGACAGUGCACGUAACAUGGUUGCCGCAAUUCGACUUACACGCUAUGAACACAUGAAGUGUGUCGCUCACAUGGUGCAGAGAAGUGUCACAGAGAGUCUUGCUGACAGCGGCUUUGUAAAUGCUUUGGCCAAGGCUUGCAAAGUUGUCGGUCAUUUUAAGAGAUUCAAGCACAACAAGUCAGCCUGGGUAAGAAGCAAGAGCCAUUGAUCCAGGAUGUUCCAACACGUUGGAAUUCGACGCUGGAAAUGGUCAAGCGCGUGAGCAGAAAUAAAGAGGUUGUCAUCGCAGCCCUGGACAAUCAGGAGCACAAACUUGUUUCGCCGAUCGCAGCAGAGUGGGAUAAACUGCAGAGGCUGGAGACACUUCUAGAGCCAUGCAGGUAUGUAACUAAGCUCCUGGGUGGAGAGGCCUAUGUCUCCUGUUCUGUGGUACUACCUUCUCUCUGCCACUUGCGUCUCAAGAUGGAAGCCUGUGAUGAGGACCCUGCAUAUGUGGUGAGAUUCAAGACCAAGUUCAAGGAGGACCUAGCAUCCCGUCAAGAACAGCUCAACAAUGCAUGGCUCCAGAUUGCUACAGUUUUGGAUCCUUGUUUCAAAGACUUGAAAUGCCUGCCCAAGACAGACAGGGAAGAGGUGUGGACCACACUUGAAGGGAUGCUGCAACAAGAAUCACCCAGAAGGUCUUCACAGACACAUGAUGAUGGGCCACCCAGGAAGAAAAUCAGCCUUCUGCAAAUGGGCUCAGAUUCAGAAUCAGAAGAUGAAGAGGUCCAACCUGCCAUACAGAGGUACAGAGCAGAGCCCACCAUUAAAUUGGAGGACUGCCCCUUGAGGUGGUGGGCAUCUCAUUCAGGAGCCCAUGAGAAGCUGGCCUCACUAGCUCACAAAUAUCUAGCAACUCCUGCAACCACUGUUCCCUGUGAACGACUUUUCUCAGUUGCAGGUCACAUUGUGAACAAGAAAAGGUCAGCUUUACUUUCAAAAAAUGUGAACAAGUUAGUUUGCCUCAGCAACUGGCUGAAAGAUGAUGAAGCUCAGUAGAUUUGAAAGGUGACGUUCAAACAAAAAGACCAGUUUCAGUGCAACAUGUUAUAGUAGUUAGCAACUGGAUUUUUGAGCAACUGGAUUAAAGAAUGGAGGAAAAGGUAAAAGAUUGUUCUUUGGUUUGAUUUAAAAGUUUUAUUGAAAAUGUUUUUUUCCACAUAAAAACUCAACAGAUGACUCAAAUUGUGCAAAAAUGUGGUAGGCCACUGUUAUGAUUUGACUACAUUUAUUGCUUUCUGUUCAAUUGAAUACUGUAAAUUGUACGUCCUGGUUAAGAGGAAUGCCAAAGAGGAAGCGAUGGGACAUUACAAAGACAAAUAUUAUGGUGUGUAGUAUGUUUCAGCUUGAUUUAAACCACCAUUAUUUGGCUGUGUUAAUAAACAGACAUAAUAUGAAAAUUAUGUCUCUGUGUCCUGUUAUUUAUCUUUAGGUAUGCAUUUCAGAAAGAAAGAAAUGUUAGGAUUCAGGUGUAAUUGCAAAUAGUGAUUAAUCCUGAUUAAUCCACUGAAAAUUCUGAUUAAUUUGAGUAAACAUUUUAAUCAUUUGACAGCCCUAAAAAAAGAUUAAAAAAAUAAAAUAAAAUGGCCACCAGGAUGCAUCUGCGAACUUACUUUUUGCACAAUAUUUUGAUUCCAAAGUCAUGUUUCCAAUCUGAAUAGGGAUUUUGAGGUCAAUGUUUGAAACGUCUCAAAAAAUAGGCUACCACGCAAAUUAUGUGGUUUUCCAUAGGAUGUCUAGCCCACGCGUGCAAAAAAGCGUUUGACACGCUCUGCGGAAAGUUAUACUAUUGGUUCAGAUCAUUUACGGAACCUCUUUGCUGGCCAGUUGCACCAUCACUAGAUAUUUUUAAACUGGCCCGGUUAUGUCUGCUUCGCCUUCGACAUUUCGCAGUGGUAUGCUGGAGCUGGUGUAGGAGUAUGCUACUUUUGAUUCUCGUGCCAAGCUUAGUCACAUGACUCAAUAAUGUCUUAUUGUGAGAGUGAGCAGAGGCUCAAUGUUUUCUUGGCAACAGAUCAUACAAGUCACACAAUAUUAGGCUAUUAAAUAUGCUAUUCAUCUAUUUAAUUUGGCAUAUUUCCCACUGGACAUUUUGGCGUUUGAUAUUUUAAUUUGCAGAAUAUACCUGAUACUGGCGAAAAGCCUUUGCCGGCUAACGUAAACCCUGGUGCACAGCUUUCCUAAGUAAUGAGGAUUUGGUGUGCAUAAUGAUGGGAAAUCCUGGGUGAUGUGAAAGCGGUGCCAGCAGCGAGAGGCUGGCUUGAUCACGGGUGACACUUUGACAGUGUAGGCUACUGUAAAUCAUCCUUUCCUUUAUUUAUUUAUCACAUUUAUUGUGUUUAUCAAGC